rnacentral:rRNA from 1 species
AUGAACGCUGGCGGCGUGCCUAACACAUGCAAGUCGAACGGAUCCGCAAGGAUUAGUGGCGCACGGGUGAGGAACACGUAGCUUACCUGCCCUUUACACUGAGAUAACUCUGCGAAAGCAGAGCUAAUAUCGGAUAAGCUCACGAGGAACAGUAUCCUUGCGAGAAAAGCUCCGGCGGUAAAGGAGGGGGCUGCGGCCCAUCAGCUAGUUGGUGAGGUAACGGCUCACCAAGGCGACGACGGGUAGGGGACCUGAGAGGGUGACCCCCCACACUGGGACUGAGACACGGCCCAGACUCCUACGGGAGGCAGCAGUGAGGAAUAUUGCUCAAUGGGCGAAAGCCUGAAGCAGCGACGCCGCGUGGACGAUGAAGGUCUUCGGAUCGUAAAGUCCUUUUCUGUGUGACGAGGAAGGACGGUAGCACAGGAAUAAGUGUCGGCUAACUACGU